rnacentral:rRNA from 1 species
GGGGGACCUUCGGGCCUCUUGCCAUCGGAUGUGCCCAGAUGGGAUUAGCUUGUAGGUGGGGUAACGGCUCACCUAGGCGACGAUCCCUAGCUGGUCUGAGAGGAUGACCAGCCACACUGGAACUGAGACACGGUCCAGACUCCUACGGGAGGCAGCAGUGGGGAAUAUUGCACAAUGGGCGCAAGCCUGAUGCAGCCAUGCCGCGUGUAUGAAGAAGGCCUUCGGGUUGUAAAGUACUUUCAGCGGGGAGGAAGGGAGUAAAGUUAAUACCUUUGCUCAUUGACGUUACCCGCAGAAGAAGCACCGGCUAACUCCGUGCCAGCAGCCGCGGUAAUACGGAGGGUGCAAGCGUUAAUCGGAAUUACUGGGCGUAAAGCGCACGCAGGCGGUUUGUUAAGUCAGAUGUGAAAUCCCCGGGCUA